rnacentral:rRNA from 1 species
GCGCACGCAGGCGGUCUGUCAAGUCGGAUGUGAAAUCCCCGGGCUCAACCUGGGAACUGCAUUCGAAACUGGCAGGCUAGAGUCUUGUAGAGGGGGGUAGAAUUCCAGGUGUAGCGGUGAAAUGCGUAGAGAUCUGGAGGAAUACCGGUGGCGAAGGCGGCCCCCUGGACAAAGACUGACGCUCAGGUGCGAAAGCGUGGGGAGCAAACAGGAUUAGAUACCCUGGUAGUCCACGCCGUAAACGAUGUCGAUUUGGAGGUUGUUCCCUUGAGGAGUGGCUUCCGGAGCUAACGCGUUAAAUCGACCGCCUGGGGAGUACGGCCGCAAGGUUAAAACUCAAAUGAAUUGACGGGGGCCCGCACAAGCGGUGGAGCAUGUGGUUU